AGCUCCAAUGGGGAUGGAGUCCCCCCAAACCGCCUCCCCGGCUGAUGACUCCUACCACCUU
rnacentral:ncRNA from 2 species